CAUUGUGCUAAGGCGUAAGCCGACGUAUACGAUGUGACACGUGACCAAUGCCAAAAGAUUACGGUAAGAUGUUAGCACUUUAGUGCGAAGCUUCGAGCCCAAGUCCUGGUGAAUGUCGGCCGUAACUAUAACGGUCCUAAGGUAGCGAAAUUCCUUGUCGGGUAAGUUCCGACCUGCACGAAUCGUGCAACGAGUUGGGCGCUGUCUCGACCAGGUGCUCAGUGAAAUUGUAGUUCCGGUGAAGAUGCCGGACACCCGCAGAAGGACGGAAAGACCCUAUAGACCUUAACUGUAAGCUGUUAUUGGUUGUUCGAUCUUAAUGCUCAGCAUAAGUGGGAGACAUUGAAGGGUGCGUUUAGGCGCAUCUGGAGUCAUCAGUGAGAUACCACCCUUUAAUAUUGGAUAAUCUAACCCCGAGCCGUCAUCCGGCCGUGGGGACAAUGGCAGCCGGUCAGUUUUACUGGGGCGGUAUCCUCCUAAAGAGUAACGGAGGAGCGCGAAGGUGGGCUCAGCACAGUUGGCAACUGUGUGUUGAGUGUAAAGGCACAAGCCCGCCUAACUGUGAGACCUACAAGUCGAGCAGAUACGAAAGUAGGCCUUAGUGAUCCGGCGGUAGAAUGUGGAAUUGCCGUCGCUCAACGGAUAAAAGGUACCUUAGGGAUAACAGGCUUAUCACGCCCAAGAGUUCAUAUCGACGGCGUGGUUUGGCACCUCGAUGUCGGCUCGUCGCAUCCUGGGGCUGGAGAAGGUCCCAAGGGUCCGGCUGUUCGCCGGUUAAAGCGGCACGCGAGCUGGGUUCAGAACGUCGCGAGACAGUUCGGUCCUCUAUCCUCUGUGGGCGUAGGAAAAUUGAAGGGUUCAGACCUUAGUACGAGAGGACCGGGUUUGACGCACCUCUGGUGUUCCAGUUGUUCUGUCAAGGGCACUGCUGGGUAGCUAAGUGCGGAACGGAUAAGCGCUGAAAGCAUCUAAGCGCCAAGCCAUUCCUGAGAUAAAUUUUCCCUGAAGGAUCGUGGAAGACGACCACGUUGAUAGGCUGGGGGUAGAAGUGCAGCAAUGUAUGUAGCUCACCAGUACUAAUCAUCCGUUCGACUUAAUUCC
rnacentral:rRNA from 1 species